rnacentral:rRNA from 1 species
GACGUAGGGGGCAAGCGUUGUCCGGAAUCAUUGGGCGUAAAGAGCGCGUAGGCGGCCCAGUAAGUCCGCUCUGAAAGUCAGGGGCUCAACCCCUGAAUGCGGGUGGAUACUGUCGGGCUAGAGUCCGGAAGAGGCGAGUGGAAUUCCUGGUGUAGCGGUGAAAUGCGCAGAUAUCAGGAGGAACACCGAUGGCGAAGGCAGGUCUCUGGGCCGAUACUGACGUGAGGAGCGAAAGCGUGGGGAGCGAACAGG